GCCGCCCAUCCUCUCCCUUGCCGUGGGCCCACCUUAGGCGUCCCCCUUGCUAGUAUGAGGUGUCCCCUUGUUGGUGUGAAGGUGAUUUGAUCAGAGUUCAUCCUACUUUGUUGUGUUGUAUGGCGUGCAUGCGAAGUAGCGGGUCUGCACUUUCAGGCCUCCGCAAAGGUUUAUUUCAGAUUAUUAAAGAUUUGAUCUUCAGUUCUAUUACUAAUCAGGUAAGAAUUUGAUCCUUAUUAGUAUAGAUUUAUAAAAAUUUUUUAGAUGCAACCUGGGCUAUCCGAAGAGAAACAGUUUUUCUUUCCUUCAAUUGGUAUCAGAGCAGGCCUUUGAUUCAUGCAUGCAUAACUAAAUUUUCUGGAUUAUUUACAUAUUGUAUGUAACUAAAAUUUUAUGUUAGAUAAUAAAUCUGAUUUAAAUCUAUUUAAAUAAAUUUUUUACUCUGAUUUUGAUUGGAUUGGAUGAUCCUAAUUAAUG
rnacentral:lncRNA from 1 species